rnacentral:piRNA from 1 species
UCCGGUCACGGUUUCUUAAUGUAGUACUGGA